rnacentral:rRNA from 1 species
UACGAAGGGGGCUAGCGUUGUUCGGAAUUACUGGGCGUAAAGCGCACGUAGGCGGACUAUUAAGUCAGGGGUGAAAUCCCGGGGCUCAACCCCGGAACUGCCUUUGAUACUGGUAGUCUCGAGUCCGGAAGAGGUGAGUGGAAUUCCGAGUGUAGAGGUGAAAUUCGUAGAUAUUCGGAGGAACACCAGUGGCGAAGGCGGCUCACUGGUCCGGUACCGACGCUGAGAAGCGAAAGCAUGGGGAGCGAACAGG